rnacentral:rRNA from 1 species
AACGAACGCUGGCGGCGUGCCUAAUACAUGCAAGUCGAACGCAGUGGGGACGGGUGAGUAACAAGUGGGUAACCUCCCAUCAGAGGGGAUAACACUUGGAAACAGGUGCUAAACCGCUACUGGUGGAUGGACCCGCGGUGGAUGAGCUAGUUGGGGGGGUAACGGCUCACCAAGGCCACGAUGCAUAGCCGACCUGAGAGGGUGAUCGGCCACACUGGGACUGAGACACGGUCCAGACUCCUACGGGAGGCAGCAGUGGGGAAUUUUGGACAAUGGGGGAAACCCUGAUGCAGCCAUGCCGCGUGUACGAAGAAGGACUUCGGGUUGUAAAGCACUUUCGGCGGGGAAGCGGUACCUGCAGAAGAAGCACCGGCUAACUACGUGCCAGCAGCCGCGGUAAUAC